AUUGAACGCUGGCGGCAUGCCUAACACAUGCAAGUCGAACGGUAACGACGGGAGCUUGCUCCCGGGCGACGAGUGGCGGACGGGUGAGUAACACUUAGGAAUCUGCCCAGUAGUGGGGGACAACCAGGAGAAAUCCUGGCUAAUACCGCAUACGCACUACGGUGGAAAGUGGGGGAUCUUCGGACCUCACGCUAUUGGAUGAGCCUAAGUCGGAUUAGCUUGUUGGUGAGGUAAAGGCUCACCAAGGCGACGAUCCGUAGCUGGUCUGAGAGGACGAUCAGCCACACUGGGACUGAGACACGGCCCAGACUCCUACGGGAGGCAGCAGUGGGGAAUAUUGGACAAUGGGCGCAAGCCUGAUCCAGCAAUGCCGCGUGUGUGAAGAAGGCCUGCGGGUUGUAAAGCACUUUCAGUAGAGAAGAAAAGCCUAGGGUUAAUAGCCCUGAGUCUUGACGUAACCUACAGAAGAAGCACCGGCUAACUCCGUG
rnacentral:rRNA from 1 species